rnacentral:rRNA from 1 species
CCCUUAGAUGUCCGGGGCCGCACGCGCGCUACACUGAAGGAAUCAGCGUGGCUUUCUCCCUGACCCGAAAGGGUUGGGAAACCCGUUGAAUCUCCUUCGUGAUAGGGAUUGGGGCUUGAAAUUGUUCCCCAUGAACGAGGAAUUCCCAGUAAGUGCGAGUCAUAAGCUCGCGUUGAUUACGUCCCUGCCCUUUGUACACACCGCCCGUCGCUACUACCGAUUGAACGGUUUAGUGAGGGCCUCGGAUUGGUCUCGGCCCGCUCUUUACCGGGCGGCGCCGUUGGUCGAGAAGACGCUCGAACUUGAUCGUUUAGAGGAAGUAAAAGUCGUAACA